rnacentral:lncRNA from 1 species
AUGCUGCGGCAUUGCUCCUUUCCCCGUUUCUCAGCAUCCAGCCCGAGGAGAAAGAUGACCAAGUCCUCGGGCAAGGAGAAGGCUCCCCAGGCUCUCCCAGAGAGCCAGGCACUGGAGCUGGCUGACCCCAAGGAUGUCACCAAGGAGCCUUUACCCCCCCAGAAAGUCCUCAAGAUCUUCAGCAUCAACAUUAUAGCUCAAAGUCUGCCCUUCUGUCGCAGACGGAUGAAGAGGAAGUUGGACCAUGGCCCCGAGGUUCGACCUUUCCCUUCAGGAAAAAAGCCCUGUCCAAGGUAACCCUUUUGCCACCUUACCUGAAACCAGCAAAAUAUUUUAGCCUGUGUUCCAUAAAAUUGUAUUGGGCACAUCUACCUUGUAAACCAGUAACAGUUGUAUGAGAGAUAUCCCUCUUUAUGGAUUUUCCCUAAUUUCUAUUAUUAUUAUUUUUAUUUAUUAGUUUAUUAAAAUUGUAUUUUAUUUAUUAAAUUAAAUGUAGUAAUAAUAAUAAUUAAAAAAAAAAUACCAGGAUGCAUUAAAUUGAUUACAAGUGAAAUUUCUGUUACAAAAGAAAAAAAUCACAGGGGGAAAAAAUGUAUGUUGAUUUCUAUAAAAACAAGUAGCACAAACUUUUUUCCAGUAUUUAAUAUAUUGCACCAAAUCAGCAAUAUGUAAUGGCUGCUUCAGCUUUUACAUCACAGGAAUAAAUUAUUUUCUUUAAAUACAUUAAAACAGUAAAUUGUUAAAUUGUAAUAUUUCACUUAUUACUGUUUUUGAGUGUAUUUUUGAUCAAAUAAAUACAGCCUUGUUGAGCAUGAGAGUAUUUUUUUUUUUUUUAUUUUUUUACAAAAAAAAUUUUUUUUAUUGAUCCCAAACUUUGGAAGAGUAGUGUAUAUUUAUUUGUAAUGUUUGAUAAUUCCCCAUUAGCCUGGUUUCCAUCCAUAUUUUUUUAAGAUAUCACCAAAAAAUGCUGGAUGGAAACGCUAAGAUGCUAAUUAAAAAGUGAGGUGGGGGAAUUAUAGGAAAAAAGUACACAUGGAGCGGAAGUUAUGAAAAAAGUAACACAUGAGCAUAAACUGUCAAAAACACAUUUUAAAUAAAUUCCUGCAUUUAAAGAUGUCAUGUGACUAGAAUAAUUUGCUCAGAUGUUUGGCUUCAAUCCCCACUCCCACUUAGAUCACAAACAAGCACAAUGUCCAUCAGAUUUUUUUGUCUGCAUGCUCUUAACCACAAGCAUUUCUAGUUUUGCUUCCACGGAACUCAUGGGAUUUAAAAUGUAGCUUUAUUCAUACAUUUUUACUUCUCCACCUAAAUUAAAUUCACAAAUUUGAUGGAAACAUUUGUAACAAUUAUGAUCAUAUUGUCUUUUGUUACCUUGCAAGAAGUAAUAUAUACAUCAGGAAAUGCAAAUCUAGCUUAUUUUGGACCUGUUAAUAGUUCAGAAAUGACACACUGUCACUCUGAAACCCCUUAAACAUGAAAUCGCCAUCUGAGAGGUUCCUUAGUCGGCAAACCCAAGCUCAACAGCCAGCUCUGACGAGUAUUCAUGCUUUAUUCUGAAGACGCAGGUGUUCUCGUGAUUCAUAUUAGAACAGUACACGACCAUCCAGGCGGCAGUUGCGCACUGAGUAAUUGAAGCAUCUUGGCAUCUUGGUCUCAAAUCCCAUUAAAUAUGAAUCCAUUAUGAAACGGACCUCACUACGUGCUCGUCUGCACUCCUCCCUCUCUCCUUCUCAUCCGGGCAUUUCUUGCACCGGAGAAGGUAUCCGUAGAUAAGCAGAAUGCAAGGAAAGAGUGCUGAAUGGUCUUUUUGGUGUUAGUGCAUGGCCCCAGAGACACAGAAGUGCUGUGAGAACUGCUGACAUGGGACGACUCUCUGUGUCCCUUACUCACCACAAGUGGAAAAGGAAAUGUGCUUCAGUUCUUAAUAGUUUGCAUACAUUAAAUGCUUUUGAGCAUGUUUUAGAUGGUCUUUAAAAAAAAGUGUAAGAAGUAAACAGAAACGGGUUUCAUGAAUGAAACAAGGAUGAAGAUAAACAUCUGAAUGAAUGGGUUUGGAACAGGUGGCUGAAUAAAAUCAUGCUGCCUGAUUGAGUUCUGAGGCUGAAGUAAAUGGUCAUGUUGUCUAAUGUUGGACCACAACAGCGGCUCAAGUGGACUGUACAGUAGUGCUCAUCUGGCACAGAUUCAGUCUAACUCACCACUUUGGUUUUGGCAGUAAUUCUCAAACUAUUGUUCUGAAAUAAAUCCUCAGAUUUCCAUAGCAGCUUCAUCCACAGAACAGUUUUGUUUUGAUUUCUUCCAUAAACUACAGGCUUGUACCAUAUUCUACCACAAUACAGAUGUCUUCUGUCACCAGAAUAUGCCCUUAGAAUAUUUUUGCUAAAAAUGUUUUCAUUUAAUGUGUUUGAAAUCGUAUGUUGUCUCUUUCCCUCUCUUGACGUCUAAUUAGUUUUCCUCUGUUCUCCCCUUGUGUCCCUUACCCUCACUGAACAGUCUAAUUCCAUUUUAGUUAUGUUUG